rnacentral:rRNA from 1 species
AUUGAACGCUGGCGGCAGGCCUAACACAUGCAAGUCGAGCGGAUGAAGGGAGCUUGCUCCUGGAUUCAGCGGCGGACGGGUGAGUAAUGCCUAGGAAUCUGCCUGGUAGUGGGGGAUAACGUCGGGAACCGGGCGUUAUUACCGCAUCGGUCCGGAGGGAGAAGGUGGGGGAUCUUGGACCCUCCCGCUACCGGAUGACCUAGGGCGGAUUAGCUAGUUGGUGGGGGAAAGGCCUACCAAGGCGACGAUCCGUAACUGGUCUGAGAGGAUGAUCAGUCACACUGGAACUGAGACACGGUCCAGACUCCUACGGGAGGCAGCAGUGGGGAAUAUUGGACAAUGGGCGAAAGCCUGAUCCAGCCAUGCCGCGUGUGUGAAGAAGGUCUUCGGAUUGUAAAGCACUUUAAGUUGGGAGGAAGGGCAGUAAGUUAAUACCUUGCUGUUUUGACGUUACCAACAGAAUAAGCACCGGCUAACUUCGUG